ACGAACGCUGGCGGCGCGCUUAACACAUGCAAGUCGAGCGGUAAGGCCCUUCGGGUACGACGAGCGGCGAACGGGUGAGUAACACGUGGGUGACCUGCCCUCAGCUCUGGGAUAAGCCUGGGAAACUGGGUCUAAUACCGGAUAUGACCACAUGUCGCAUGGUGUGUGGUGGAAAGUUUUUCGGUCUGGGGAGUGGGCCCGGCGGCCUAUCAGCUUGUU
rnacentral:rRNA from 1 species